rnacentral:tRNA from 1 species
GCACUAGAAGCUCAGGUGAAAGAGCGCUGGUCUUGUAAACCAGAGGUCGAAGGUUUAAACCCUUCCUAGUGCU